UACGUAGGGUGCGAGCGUUGUCCGGAAUUAUUGGGCGUAAAGGGCUCGUAGGCGGUUUGUCGCGUCGGGAGUGAAAACACCGGGCUUAACUCGGUGCUUGCUUCCGAUACGGGCAGACUAGAGGCAUGCAGGGGAGAACGGAAUUCCUGGUGUAGCGGUGAAAUGCGCAGAUAUCAGGAGGAACACCGGUGGCGAAGGCGGUUCUCUGGGCAUGAUCUGACGCUGAGGAGCGAAAGUGUGGGGAGCGAACAGG
rnacentral:rRNA from 1 species